GACCCUACUUGGCAGGGGAUAUACCAUGAUCAUGAAGGUGGUUCACCCAGGGUGAGGCCUAACCAUUGCAUUGCAGCUGUGCUGAUCCCUGCGAAUUCCCCAAAUGUGGGAAUCUCGACUGCAUAAUUUCUGGUAGUGGGGGGCUGCCUUCAGGCUCUCUCAUG